AUAUAUCAACCUCUUCCAGCUUUUGCUUGUUGAGUUGUUGGAUGUGGGAGGCUUUUUUUGCUGGCGCCGUCAGCUCUCCUAAAAUGCAUUAGCUAAACGAUUUGUUGAUUGUUCAUUGGUAUGAUAAACCGAUCUUAUGCUAUUGAACAUGAGGCAAGUUUGGCUUCUAAUUGUCCAUUGACUUGGACAGUCUUUUAUUUGUUA
rnacentral:misc_RNA from 1 species